rnacentral:rRNA from 1 species
AUGAAGGUUGAAGAAGCAUUGGAAGAUCCGGAUUGGAUAAACGCUAUGCAUGAAGAGCUACAUAAUUUUGAGAGAAACCAAGUUUGGACAUUGGUUGAGAAGCCCGACAACAACCACAACAUAAUUGGUACCAAAUGGGUGUUUCGCAACAAGCAAGAUGAAGAUGGACAAGUGGUCCGCAAUAAAGCACGUCUCGUCGCUCAAGGAUACACACAAGUCGAAGGUAUGGACUAUGGUGAGACGUAUGCUCCCGUUGCUAGACUUGAGUCCAUUCGCAUCUUACUUGCCUAUGCUAACCACCAUAAUAUCACCUUGUACCAAAUGGACAUUAAGAGUGCUUUUCUAAAUGGAGAAAUAGAGGAGGAAGUUUAUGUCAAACAACCUCCCGGCUUUGUCAAUCCUAAGAAACCAAAUCAUGUUUACAAACUUCACAAAGCUCUUUAUGGUCUUAAACAAGCUCCUAGAGCAUGGUAUAAAUGCUUGACCAAGUUCCUUACUACAAGUGGUUUUGAAAUUGGUAAAAUUGACUCUACUCUUUUUACUAAAAGGGUUAAUGGAGAACUAUUUGUAUGCCAAAUUUAUGUUGAUGACAUCAUAUUUGGUUCAACUAACCCUCUCUUUAGUGAAAAGUUUGGAAAGCUAAUGUCAGAGAAGUUUGAGAUGUCUAUGAUGAGUGAACUCAAAUUCUUUCUUGGGUUGCAAAUCAAGCAAACUAAGGAAGGUACAUUUGUCUUUCAGACAAAGUACACUAAGGACUUAUUCAAGAAGUUCAAUAUGCAAGAAUGCAAAGGUAUGUCUACACCCAUGCCUACUAGUGGACAAAAUGAUUUAACCAAAGAUGGUGAACCAGUUGAUCAAAAGGUUUAUCGCUCUAUGAUUGGUUCAUUGUUAUACCUAUGUGCUUCACGUCCCGAUAUUAUGCUAAGUGUAUGCAUGUGUGCACGAUAUUAA